UUAAUAAUUAUUUAUUAAUUUUUUUUUUAAAAAAAUUUUAAUAUUUAAAAUAAUAAUAAAAUUAAAAAGUUUAAGUAUUUUAUAAAGAAAAAAUAAUUUUAAUAAUAGUUUAUUAGUAUUGUGAAAUAAAAUUGAAAUAUAAUGAAAAAUUUUUAUUUUAAAAGAAAAUUUUAUUUAUUGUAUCUUGUGUAUCAGAGUAUAUUAAAUAAAAAAUAUUUAUAUAUUUUUCUCGAUUUUAAAAGAUUUAAUAAAUUAUAAAUGUUAAUGUGAUAAAAUUAUAUUUAAUAAUUUAUUAGAAAUGAAAUGUUAUUCGUUUUUAAAGGUAUCUAGUUUUUUAAGAAAUAAAUUUAAUUUAAUAUUCAAAAUUUACUUAUUUAUUUAUUUUAAUUAAGUAAUUUUUGAAAUUUAAUAUUUUAUGGGAUAAGCUAUAAAAUAAAUUUUUAUAAAUAAUAAAUAGAUUUAAAAUUUAAUAUGUUUAAAAGUAUCAAUUUUUAUUAAGUUUGUUAUAAAUUAAUUUUUUUAAUAAAUUAUUUAUUAUAUUUUAAUUUUUUAUUAAAAUAUUUAUUUUAAUAUUAAAAAUAAAGUAAUAAUGAUAUAAUUAGUAUAUAAUUUUUGUAUAAAUAUAUUUUAAAUUGAAAAGUUUAUGUAAAGAAUUCGGCAAAAAUAAUGUUCGCCUGUUUAACAAAAACAUGUCUUUUAGAAAUUAAUUUAAAGUCUGACCUGCCCACUGAAUUUUUUUAAAUGGCCGCAGUAUAUUAACUGUGCAAAGGUAGCAUAAUCAUUAGUCUUUUAAUUGAAGGCUGGAAUGAAUGGUUGGACGAAAUAUUAACUGUUUCAUUUAAAUUUAUAAUAGAAUUUUAUUUUUUAGUCAAAAAGCUAAAAUAAAUUUAAAAGACGAGAAGACCCUAUGAAUCUUUAUAUAUGUUAUAUUUUAAUUUUGUAGAUUAUUUUAAUUAUAAUAUUAAUUAUAUAUUUUAUUGGGGUGAUAUUAAAAUUUAAAUAACUUUUAAAAUUUAAAUCAUUAAUUUAUGAAUAAAUGAUCCAUUUUUAAUGAUUAGAAAUUUAAGUUACUCUAGGGAUAACAGCGUAAUUUUUUUGGAGAGUUCAUAUCGAUAAAAAAGAUUGCGACCUCGAUGUUGGAUUAAGAAAUAAUUUUAGGUGUAGCCGUUUAAAUUUAAAGUCUGUUCGACUUUUAAAAUCUUACAUGAUCUGAGUUCAAACCGGCGUAAGCCAGGUUGGUUUCUAUCUUUAAUAAAUUAAUAUAUUUUAGUACGAAAGGAUUGAAUAUAUAAAUAAUUAUAUUUUUAUUUAUUUGAAUAUAAUUAAUAGAUAGUAAAA
rnacentral:rRNA from 1 species